UUCUCUGUACAUUUGCAACAGAGAUACUUGUUAGCUGUUUUACAUUUCAACUCUACUGCUGAAAGCCUGAUCCACACCAAAUGGGCUCUUUUCUUAUGGUGGAUUCUCCCUCUGAGGGCAAUUCCUUCCCUCCUUGACCAAUCUUCCACUGCCUCUACUGCUGUUGCUCCAACUGCUCCCAUAGCCAAUAUGGCCCAGAAGGAGGGCAGAACUGGAGAUAGAUGCCAGCUGCUGGUUUAAUUCUCACAAAGUCUGUACUAAAGGAAAGAAGAUACAAACAGAAGGCAGAACAAACCCCCCCAGAGGCUUGCUUACAAGACCAUGAGUCGAUAGGACCAGGAGACUGGAGGGAAGGGCAUACCACCCCGCAAACCUCUAUAGCUAUGACAGCCAUUCUUACAACUCUGAGACCUGAGGAGUUGGAAUUGCAUCUUUCAUCUAUCCACAGUUUGGCAGCCAAAUAAAGAUGUCAUCAUGGCUGAUAAAAGAAAGUAACCCAAGGAUAUCUACACCUUCUCUGAAGGAUGCUUCUUCUUGUCUCCUUUCGUUUCCGAUCUGGAAUGCAUAGGCCCUGGUCAAAAAUGAAAAUGGGAAGAGAAAUUAGCUAGCAUUUAUCUAUACAGUGAUUUAAAGCUUGCAACGUGUUGUACACAAGUUAUCUAUCUCCGUUGACCUUCACAACAACCUUAUAAGAACCAGGUGUCUGAAUGGAGCCGGAUCACCAAUGCAUUAGAAAAAAAAAGAUCACAAUUGAUAUCAAAGAUGGCCUUCUUCCAUUUGGAUUCUGCACUGGACAUCUUCUAUCAAAGGGCACAUACAUUUGAAGAGAGAUUCUGCAAGCAUAAAUGAUCAGGAAGCCUUUACGGAUGAAGUGGGAUUUGGCCUGCAUCUUGAAGUACAGUGACUAUGGUAGAGACUGGAAGAAAAGAUGAGGACCGCAAGCCAAGGCCUGAAGUCACAUGGAAGUGGGCAGAUAAACGCCAUAAGGAUUGGGAGUUUCAAGCUGGUACCAGCUGAUAUUUGUGUCCCUGUGCUCUUUGGCAAAACAAACGUCUGUUUCUCAGAAAAUGAGGUACAUGGAAAGUUUCCUAAAGAUUAUUUGACAGUUCU